rnacentral:rRNA from 1 species
GCUAACUAUCAAGCCUAUAAAUUAAUAAAUAAACCUGACUUCAACUAAUGUAAAAUAAAACAUUUUAUUGUUUAAGUAAAGGCGAUUGAAAAACCACUAAGAGCUUCAACUUUAGUACCGCAAGGGAAAGAUGAAAUAUAAGUGAAAUAAAAUAAAGCACAGAAUAGUAGAGAUUAAAACUCGUACCUUUUGCAUCAUGGUCUAGCAAGUCAUUAUCAAGCAUAGGGACACUCAAGUUUGAUUUCCCGAAACUAGGCGAGCUACUUCAGAAUAGCAUUUAGAGCCAACCCGUCUCUGUUGCAAAAGAGUGGGAAAAUUUUCAAGUAGUAGUGACAAGCCUAUCGAGCCUAGAGAUAGCUGGUUAUUCAAGAAAAGAAUUUUAGUUCUACCUUAAGUUUUUAUAUGAAUAUAAACAUAACACCAUACUUAAGAGCUACUCAAAUAAGGCACAGCUUAUUUGAAAAAGGAUACAACCUAAACUUUAGGGUAAAAUAUUGUAAAACUUAAUAAAGUAGGCCUAAAAGCAGCCAUCUUUCAAAAAGCGUUAAAGCUUUGCUUUUAAUUUUUAAAAUUCAAUUUAAUAUUAUCAACCCAUCAUCAGUAUUGAAUAAGUUCAUAAAUUAUGAAAAAUAUUAUGCUAGAACUAGUAACAAGAAAAUGAAUUUCUCCAAAAUGUAAACAUAAACCAAAAUGGACAGCCCAUUGGUGAUUAACGACUUUGUGCUUAUUAUAGUAAAACAACUAGAAAACUCUAUAUUUUAUGCCGUUAACCUUACACAAGAACUCUUCUGGAAAGAUUAAAAGGAAAAGAAGGAACUCGGCAAAUUUUAACCCCGCCUGUUUACCAAAAACAUCGCCUUUUGCACAAAUAUAAAAGGUCCAGCCUGCCCAGUGUUUUUAAUCAACGGCCGCGUGAUUUAAGCGCGCUAAGGUAGCAUAAUAAUUUGUUCUUUAAAUAAGGACUUGUAUCAAUGGCAUCACGAGGGUUAUACUGUCUCCUCUCCCCAAUCAGUGAAACUAAUCUCCCUGUGAAAAAGCAGGGCUAAGACUAUAAGACGAGAAGACCCCAUGGAGCUUAAAAUACAGCAGCAACUAUAAUAAUAAUAUCAAUACAAUUUUUAGCCAUGUAUGCCAAUUUUAGGUUGGGGUGACCAUGGAGCAAAACAAAGCCUCCACGACGAAAAGAGUAUACACCCUUAUCCAAGAGAUACCCCUCUAAGAAUUAUCAAAAUAACGUCCAAUGAUCCGACUAUCGACCAACGGACCAAGUUACCCUGGGGAUAACAGCGCAAUCCACUCUGAAAGCUCCUAUCGACGAGUGGGCUUACGACCUCGA